UACGUAGGGGGCAAGCGUUGUCCGGAAUCAUUGGGCGUAAAGAGCGCGUAGGCGGCCCGAUAAGUCCGCUGUGAAAGUCAAGGGCUUAACCCUUGAAUGCCGGUGGAAACUGUCGGGCUAGAGUCCGGAAGAGGCGAGUGGAAUUCCUGGUGUAGCGGUGAAAUGCGCAGAUAUCAGGAGGAACACCGAUGGCGAAGGCAGCUCGCUGGGACGUUACUGACGCUGAGACGCGAAAGCGUGGGGAGCAAACAGG
rnacentral:rRNA from 1 species